AACCCGCAAGGAGCACAGCAGUGCUUCAGAAGACUCCUCCCGUCUGACUGUUGCUUGUACAAGCUCAGUGGUAAGUCUCAACAGUACUCAAAAGCCCUUCACUGUACUGAAGCCAGCCUGAAUCCUGUAACUCUUGGAACUCAGUGGAUGAAUUUGAUCUCUAAAAUCUCCAAGACACCUAAGCAAACCUCAUUUGCAGGAUGGAUCAGGUUUUCCCAUGGCAGUCAAUGCCAGCGGCACCAAAGGCCCUCUGAGGGCUUUUCAAAGAAAGAGAUUGUGUCCGAAAACAGGAGUCCAAGUAGCAAGCUAAGGAAAAGCUACUGCAACAGGUCACUGUGUGAAUCAUGCCUUGACUGA
rnacentral:lncRNA from 1 species